CUCUGCCCAUGGCUCCAAGGCCAUCCCUGUGCGACAGUAAAUGAACCUCAGGUUGCCUGGUUAUAGCAGCUAAAGUGAUAGUGAUGUCACAAUGCUCGCUCCCGCUAAGAAUUUGAACCUGGCAGGGUCCAGGCCUAGAGAACUGGCCAGGUUUUGGGCCAGAACCUGGAGCCCUGGUGGAGGUCCACACACGAGAGGCCCCGGUAGCUGAGCGAAAGAAGCAGGGAUGUUGGUCUGAGGAAGGACAGGUGCAGGCCAUCUUUGAAGAAAACGAGCCAGGUGACAGUGCUGUGCCAUGCAUUAGCCUCAAGUUUACUGUGGCUGCUUACAUUCAAUGUAAUGAACAAUGCUUCAUUUGAACUGAACACUUCCAGGACAAUGACUUUUCUCCCACAAAGGCUUUGGCAUCGUUAAUGGAAAUUCUGCCGUGAGAAGCCUGAGUUCAGAGGGCAGCCAGCUGCCUGACCGAGGUGCCCGCCCUGGAAGUGAGCACCUUUCUCUUCCACCUUGGGGGCGGUGUGUCCACGGUUCUCUGGUCUCCAUUGGGGUUUGUUCUAAUCAGGUAAGUCUGUAGACACAGAAAUAGCUGUGAGGAAGUUCUGCGUGCACAGAUCCCAAGAAGAAAGCCCAGGCAGCCUGGGCGAGGAAGGCACUGGAGCAGAGGUAGCAGGGGACAGCCUUCCUGGGUGGGAAGGAGCGCAGCAGGCAAGGCAGGGGAGCAGCCAGGUUGGCCGCAGGCUUGGGAUUCGCUGUUUUGAACCUUCUCCAUGGACUCCAGGCUUAGGGACUGUCCCAGCUGAGCAGGGGUGGUGAGAUGAUGGCCUGACACCAAGAGUCUUGAGAAUCCCUGGCCUAGAUAGAGAUUUCCCCACGUGAGUCAGAACAGGGACAAGAACUUGUCAGGGAGACCAACGGUGCUUGACAGUAGCAUUGUCGUGGCUCCCCAGCCGGAAGCAGCCGGAGAGCUCAACAGCAGGAAGCUGACAAGUUGCCAUAGGAUCCUCAACAGCUAUGGAAACAGGCGAGAUGUGCAACAGCCAGUGAGUCUCCGGCAUUUACUGUGCCCCCGACUAAGCAGAGCCCACAAGACAGUGUCCCGAUUCCAUCACACAGGAAGUGUUCGGCCAGGGACCCGGAUUCUAGCUACGCACUGGGACUUACACACCAUAAAGAAAGCUACAGGAAAACCCGGUAAAUGCUGUGUUAAAAAGAGAAUCGUGGGGUCUCUCCUGUGCCUCUGGAGGCCACUUGAGAUGCAGACAGUGCCGAACAACCUCUCUCUGGCCACCAGGUGAAAAUUUAAGAAAAAAAUUGCGUCCUUUAUUUUCCAGUAUUGAGUAUUGAUUUUCCAAUAUUUGAGUACUUGAGUCCAACAGCUGCCAGAGUCUGUGGGACGCUUGCUGCUGUGGCAGACAGGGUCCGGGGGUCAUAAACCCACCUGGCUUUGCCUUCAUUUCAAGGCACAAGAGUCAGCACACUCUCAGGUAAUUUGGUGUUGGUAUCAUAGAAUUCAGUGUUGUGGGAGGCCAACCUUACAGGUGACUGAGUUACACUCCCCAGCUAGGUGCUGAGGCGCUCAGUCACAGAAAUGGGUGUGUCUUGC